rnacentral:rRNA from 2 species
AUCAAGCGUCUAAAAAAUGCAAACAGUGGAUACCUUGGCCUUUGUUACCUAUGAAGGACGUACAUGGCCGCGAAAGUCGUCGGGGAGCUGCCACGAAGCUUUGAUCCGGCGGUGUCCGAAUGGGGAAACCUGGCCCAGUUCAUCCUGGGCCACACUGUGGUAAAAUUUCCGGUUUACCGGAAUAUAGCUGCAGGCGAGGGAACCAUCCGAACUGAAACAUCUAAGUAGGGUGAGGAAGAGAAAUCAACGAGAUUGCCUAAGUAGCGGCGAGCGAAACGGCAACAGCCCAAAUUUUGCCCCGUUAGAUAUUUUUAUCUAAUGGGGUGAUCGGUUGUAGGACUCACGAUAUGGCAUUGAUAAUUGGUAGCAGAACAUUCUGGAAUGGAUGAGCAAAGAGCGUGAAACUCGCGUAAGCAAAACUAAUUAUCAGCCUAGUGGGCACCUGAGUACCACGGUCACAAUCUGUGGGAAUCUGGGGGGACCAUCCUCCAAGGCUAAAUAUAACAAAGGACCGAUAGUGAACAAGUACCGAGAGGGAAAGGUGAAAAGAAGUGCGGAACGCACAGUGAAAUAGAACAUGAAACUGUUUGCAGACAAACCGAGAGAGCUUGUGCUUUGCACAAAAGAUAUGAAGACAUUAAGCGAUUAAGAGAUUAAGUAAAACAAAACUUAAUAACUUAUUAACUUAAUCACUUCGUAACUUUCGCGCAGAGCGCGAGUGAUCUCGUGCCUAUUGAAGAAUGAACCGGCGAGUUAUCGUGUACUGCAAGCUUAAGGGCUUAUGGCUCAAAAGCGCAGCGAAAGCGAGUACUAAUAGUGCAAUUAGUAGUGCAUGAUAGACCCGAAACCAGGCGAUCUAGCCAUGAGCAGGCUGAAUUCCCGCGAAAGCGGGAAGGAGGGCCGAACCGUUGUAUGUUGCAAUAUGCUCGGAUGACUUGUGGCUAGGGGUAAAAUGCCAAACGAGCCUGGAGAUAGCUGGUUCUCCCCGAAAGGUGUAUGGGCACCGUGGUCCGCUAGGUGGAUUGGAGGUAGAGCUACUGAAUGGGUCGCCAAGGGAAACCAAGGCGAUUUAAUCAAACUCCGAAUUACAAUCACAUUAACGGACUAGACAGUCUCUAGGGGCUAAGCUCUAGAGACGAAAGGGAAACAACCCAGACCGUCAGUUAAGGUCCCAAAAUGUAUACUCAGUGUUUAAGGAAGUGGAAUUCCAAAAACAGCCAGGAGGUUGGCUUAGAAGCAGCCAUCCUUUAAAGAUAGCGUAACAGCUCACUGGUCAAGGGAUUCCGCGCCUAAGAUUUCGCGGGGCUAAAGUAUACUACCGAAGCUACGGAUCUCGUUCGUAGAACGAGAAUUUUUAGUUUUUAGUUUUUAAUUUUAAAUCAAUUUUUAAUAUCUAAUUUCUAAUUUUUGAAGUUUAGAUUUUAGUAUUUUUAUUUGAUUAAAAAUUUCAAAUUUUAAAUUUAGAAUUUCUCGCUCUGCGAGCGAGGUGGUAGGGGAGCGUUCCAAGUGCAGUGAAGCUGUGGUGGAAACCAUGGUGGAGCGCUUGGAAGUGAGAAUGCCGGUAUGAGUAGCGUGAAAUCCCGAUGAGAAUUCGGGACGCCGAAAACCCAAGGUUUUCCCGGCGAGGUUCGUCCUCCGGGAGUAAGUCGGCACCUAAGGCGAGGCCUAAGGGCGUAGUCGAUGGAUAACGGGUUAAUAUUCCCGUACUUGUUUUGAUGCGUUUGCACCCGCAAGGGACUGCAUGCAACUGGGGAUUGACUGAAUUGGAGCGUCAGAGCUUCUUAUUGAUUGGAGUGUAAGCCGUGAGAUAGUCUUGAUUGGAAAACCCAUCAAGAUGAUUAAUUAAGCGGCGAUGCAGAGGUGAGCGAGAGUUCGCCAAUUCUGACCGUUUCAGUUUACAAGAAAAAAUUCGCAGUGAGUAUCAAAGCGAGCCGUACCGCAAACCGACACAGGUGGGUUGGUCGAGUAGACCAAGGCGAGCGAGAGAAGGUAGUUUAAGGAACUCGGCAAAUUAGCUGGACGUAAGUUCGCAAGAUGUCCUGUCCCUCACCAUUUAUGGUGUAGGGAUCGCAGCUAACGAUUGUCAGUCGACUGUUUACCAAAAACACAGGUCCGUGCAAAAGCGAAAGCUUAAGUAUACGGGCUGACGCCUGCCCAGUGCUGGUAAGUUAAGUGGAUGGGUGCCCCGCCUUUGGCGGGAUGCUCUGAAAUGAAGCUCCAGUAAACGGCAGCAGUAACUAUAACUGUUCUACGGUAGCGAAGUUCCUUGUCUGGUAAGUUCAGACCCGCACGAAAGGCGUAACGAGCUGACAACUGUCUUAAACUAUCACUCGGCGAAAUUGCGAUGGCUGUGAAGACGCGGCCUACACACACCAGGACAAAAAGACCCCGUGCAGCUUUACUGUAUUCUGGCAUUGAGCUGUGCAUUUUAAUUGUCUAGCGUAAGAGGGAGUCCCGCUUUGCGGGACGCCAAUGUAACACCUCUCUUUAAAAUGUGGCAGAUCUUACUCAGGGACGCUUGAAACGCGUCCGGGAAAAGUGUCAGAUGGGCAGUUUUACUGGGGCGGUACCCUGCAAAAAGGUAACGCAGGGACGCAAAGGUUGGCUAACCACGGAUGGAAAUCGUGGGGUAAGCGCAAAGGUAUAAGCCAGCUUGACUGCGAGGCCGAUGGGCCAAGCAGGUACGAAAGUAGGUCUUAGUGAUCCUCCGUUUCGCAAUGGGUGCGGACGGAGCUUAAUAGAUAAAAGCUACGCCGGGGAUAACAGAGUAGUCGCAUCCGAGAGUCCAUAUCGACGAUGCGGUUCGCUACCUCAACAAUGACAUCGGGGUCUUCCGGUAGAAAUACCGGAAUGCUGUUUUAAAAAUACCGACUCAUAACGGUGAACUCCAACUUGAAAUUCGGUUUAACUUUGGGUUAAGCUGAAUUCAGGGGACAACACCGUGGGAAGUUUAUCGGAUAUUCAACAACAAAUAAUUUUGGGUUGCAUCCUUGGUGAUGGAUAUUUGAGAAAGAAAACUAAUGCGCAUUUGCAAAUUACGCAUUCGAUGAACGAAGUUCACAAGCUUCGCUUAUAAAGCAAAAAGAGUACGUUGAUUGGAAAUAUCAAAUUUUAAAAGAUAUUGUCAUCACUCCUCCCAAAGCUUAUCGAGGCAAUGCAGGCCGUGUUGGUUACAGAUUCUUUAUCAAAAGCAUUCCCGAACUUACUGUUUUCUAUGGCAGAUUUUACCUGAAUGGCAAAAAGAUAAUUCCGGAUAAUUUAAAGUUAUCCCCACUAUCUUUAGCUGUCUGGUAUAUGGACGAUGGUUCAAAAACAUAUAGAAGCAGUUAUUUUAAUUGCCAACAAUUUGAUUUAAAGAGUCAAGGUAAUUUAAUAAAAAGUUUGGGAGAACUUGGAAUAGAGUCACGAUUAAAUAAGGAUAAAACGUACUUUAGAAUACGAACCUUAUACUCAAGUACUCCAACACUCAGGGAAACAAUCUACCCGCACAUAAUUAAAAGUAUGCGGUACAAAAUUCCGAUAUAACCCCGUAUCGACUAGCUCGUAAGGGAGUAGAUAUGAAUUUUUUAAUUCAUAUAACACGUCGGCGUCCUACUUCAUGUUGUAGAGGACGAAGGUAUAGUCAGGCCACUACGUAAGUAGAUGGGUUUAAAGCGAUGUCGGCUCAGCACAUCCUGGGGGGGAAGUACCUCCCAAGGGUCGGUCUGUUCGCCCGUUAAAGUGCUACGUGAGCUGGGUUCAGAGCGUCGCAAGACAGCUCGGACUCUAUCCGGUGUGUGCGUUGAACCUUGAAGGGAGCUGUCCCCAGUACGAGAGGACCGGGAUGGGGGAAUCCCUAGUGUGCCGGUUGUCACAUCAGUGGCAGCGCCGGGUAGCUACAUUCCCAUGGGAUAACCGCUGAAAGCAUCUAAGCGGGAAGCCCACCCUAAGAUGAGGGUUCGUUAUGAGACCUCCGAGAGAACAUCGGUUUAAUCGGCCAGCAGUGGAAGCGACGCAAGUCGUUAAGCUUACUGGUGCGAAUUGGUCCAAUGACGUUUGAUUU